AUGAAUGAAACAUAUUCAUCCGAAAAUCUUAGUUUAUCAGAAGCUUGGUCUAAAAUUCCCGAAAAAUUAGCCUUUUAUGAUUAUAUUGGUAAUAAUCCGGCAAAAGGGGGAUUAUUCAGAGCAGGCUCAAUGGACAAUGGGGAUGGAAUAGCUGUUGGAUGGUUAGGACAUCCCGUCUUUAGAGAUAAAGAAGGACGUGAGCUUUUUGUACGCCGUAUGCCUACUUUUUUUGAAACAUUUCCGGUUGUUUUGGUAGAUGAGGUGUAA
rnacentral:rRNA from 1 species